UCGCUGAUGGCGUGGACGUGCACCUCAUCGACUGAGGUCGAAGUCGUUUCCGUUCAGUCGUAUUCGGCGAC
rnacentral:tRNA from 3 species